rnacentral:rRNA from 1 species
CCUACGGGAGGCAGCAGCCGCGGUAAUAUUGGACAAUGGGCACAAGCCUGAUCCAGCAAUACCGCGUGUGUGAAGAAGGCCUGCGGGUUGUAAAGCACUUUCAGUGGGGAAGAUAAUGACGUUACCCACAGAAGAAGCACCGGCUAACUCCGUGCCAGCAGCCGCGGUAAU